rnacentral:sRNA from 1 species
AUUUGUUUGAUUUUUUUUGUAGUUUCAUCAAUAUGUGGAUUCCAUGACAGUUUUUUUAAUUUAUUAUAUCUAUUGUAAUACAAUCAGAAAUAUGCAUUUAGAUCUAUUUACUACCAAAAUGUAUGGGACCUACUUACUAAGAACAAAAAUCCUUAUUGUUGAGGGAGAUCUAUAUACUGUAUAGUGUAUACUUCCAUUGUAUUAAUUGUAUGGUCAACAAAAGUAAAAAGCUGGCUAGAAAGGCCUCUUGUAUUGCAUUGUUAAACUUAUAAACUACCGGUAUAUAAAGUAUAUAGGGUAAAACUUCCCAUCGAAUAUAGUUCAUCCAUUGAUGAUGAGCACUUUGUCAUCCAGGGGGCUGAGGGCGUUGCACUGAAUUAAAUGCCUCCUCAUGUGGCUGGUGACGCUGGUGAGACCUAUGUGAGCCUGGGAUGUUCGGCUGCACACUGGGCAGGUUAUUUCAGCUGGAGCAUUGACUGACUUAACGGGAAUUACGUUUUCCACCUAUCACAGCACGCAUACCAGUAUAGUUAAAAAUGUAUUAGAUCAAAGUCCCUUCAAAGAUAAUUAUGUUUUGAUAUUUUCUGCCACUACCCUUUUCCUGACCAGCUUCUAUGAGAGCAAUUAUUGUUUACGUUUUUUUUCAUCUAUAAAUUAAUUUUUCUUCAAUAUUUUUUUAGCACUUAAACAUCAAAACGUCUGUAUCUUUUUCAUCCUCUAUAGAAAUGAGUGGCAACAUAGAAAUCUUAUAUUAGUUUAUCUUUGUCCAUCAUAGUUCGAUAAUGACCACUUUCAUCAUUCAGGGUGGGAUCAGGUAUUAUCACUGUGGUUUGGUAUCUCCUUAUGUUCAGCUGCAUACUGGGCAGGUUAUUCCAGCUGGACAUUGUGUUAGUAGCCUUGAUUGUUUAUGUAAAAAUUUCUAUUAAAUUUUGCCAUGAUUUAUCUAUACUUUGUUUAGGUUCCUCCAGUUGUAGCACAGCUAAACUAUUUUUAAAAGUUAAAAUUGAUUUUUUAAUCUGUUUGAUAUGGACCUUGUCUAGGUCAAAUUUUUCCUUUUUAUUUAUUUUUGUUUUAUUGCUGAUCUGUUUCAUUUUGUCUUAUCUUGUGAGACCCAUGCUACUUUGUGGCAUCUUUUGUGAGUAAAAAUGCUGCAUCCUAUCAUCAGUUCAUCUAAAAUCUAAAGUCUGUAAGCAUUUAUCCAUUGCAUUUAUGUUUUCAAGUCCAUGUAGACGUGUGCUCAAAAUUUUCUCUCUAUUGUCACUUCCCACAUUGAGGUUUCUAUCAAAGCACAGAGCAGGAUGGGCCACUGUCCUGUUGGCUUGUAUUUCGCCCGGCUCAGGACAGACCUUGGUCCACAGUGCCAUGCUGUGGGAAGAGGAAACCGUCUUAUAAUAUUCUUUUCGACUGCCCCAGAAUUGCUGAACUCUUCAACAGGUCGGAAAACCAGUUUUUUUUACCUGCAUGGUGACAUACAUGCAUUAUGCAUAACAGCAGGAUUUCUCUCCAGAACUUUUGCCAUAGAGGAUUUGAACCUCUCAAGCUCUCAUUCAAAUGGAGUUUUAUGAUAGCAUUAGUCAUUUGGUUUGUACAAAGAUAUUUACAACAUGCAACAAAGAUAAUGAACUUUUCCAUUGAACAAAAAAUAUGGAUAAAAUAUUGAUGGAUGAGAGAGUUUACACAUAAAAAAAGCAGUGCUGUCAUUCUAUACAUCCCCUGGUGAGUAUGUAAUAAAAUUAAAAGGCACUUUUAAGUUUUCAGAACAAAAGUUGAUUUUUUUUUCAAGUCAAUAAUUAUAAUAUACCAUUAAUUACACACAUUCUAUAUUCUACCAUACAAAUACUAAUUAAUCUGAUUCUGUAUUUAUUUAAAAAUAAAUAAAUGCUGGUACUAUUAUUAAAUCUUACUUAUUAUUUCUACACAUGAAUUUAAGAAUAAAUAUAUUUGGUUACAGUACUAAAAUACUAUAUAUUAGUAAAUUUGUUGUUUUCUUCUACACAUAAUACUAUGUGGUUCAGACUACAAGUCUUAAUCAUAACUUUUUUUUUUUGUUUAUACAAAAUAUGGUAAGGAUAUAUCAACUUGACCAAUAAAUCAAAUGCUAAAAAAAAACAACUCAC